GAUGAACGCUGGCGGCGUGCCUAAUACAUGCAAGUCGAGCGAACAGACGAGGAGCUUGCUCCUCUGACGUUAGCGGCGGACGGGUGAGGAACACGUGGAUAACCUACCUAUAAGACUGGGAUAACUUCGGGAAACCGGAGCUAAUACCUGAUAAUAUAUUGAACCGCAUGGUUCAAUAGUUAAAGACGGUUUUGCUGUCACUUAUAGAUGGAUCCGCGCCGCAUUAGCUAGUUGGUAAGGUAACGGCUUACCAAGGCAACGAUGCGUAGCCGACCUGAGAGGGUGAUCGGCCACACUGGAACUGAGACACGGUCCAGACUCCUACGGGAGGCAGCAGUAGGGAAUCUUCCGCAAUGGGCGAAAGCCUGACGGAGCAACGCCGCGUGAGUGAUGAAGGUCUUCGGAUCGUAAAACUCUGUUAUUAGGGAAGAACAAAUGUGUAAGUAACUAUGCACGUCUUGACGGUACCUAAUCAGAAAGCCACGGCUAACUACGUG
rnacentral:rRNA from 1 species